rnacentral:snoRNA from 1 species
UUCCAUUGCUAAGUCAAGGCUUCUUCCGUGCAAUUUGUUGCCGUCUCUCUAUGGAAGACUUGUCUGUUACAGCUUUGGUAGAUCAACACUGGCCCGCCGCCUGGCUUCUUUCUGAAGUUAGGUAGACCGGCUCUCGUUUUGAGGGUCGAUCAUAAAGGGCCAUGUCGUGCUUUGUUUGAGUUGAGGGCUGCUUCUGCCUUUCGGUGACUUCAUAGCAGUUCUCUUAGUAACAUCCCACACAUCU